rnacentral:rRNA from 1 species
UACGUAGGGAGCAAGCGUUGUCCGGAAUCAUUGGGCGUAAAGCGCGCGUAGGUGGCCCCGUAAGUCCGCUGUGAAAGUCAAAGGCUCAACCUUUGAAAGCCGGUGGAUACUGUGGGACUAGAGUACGGAAGAGGCGAGUGGAAUUCCUGGUGUAGCGGUGAAAUGCGCAGAUAUCAGGAGGAACACCAAUGGCGAAGGCAGCUCGCUGGAACGGAACUGACGCUGAGGCGCGAAAGCGUGGGGAGCGAACAGG